UAUAGCAGUAAUUUAUUGUGUGCAAUCUUGAUGCCUUUUGUGUUGUUGCAUUGAACACUUGAUUGUAUAGAUAAUACCUUAAUGAUGAAGUAGGCUUGGGUGCUAUGGUGUAUGCAUAUGAGCUUAACAUUUGAAAUGGAUGCAACAACAUCGGAAUUUCAUGAAUCCGUUGCAAUACCAUACCAGGAAAUCGAUUAAGUACUGACUCUUAUCUUUCUAAUUUUCCCAGUAUUCCACCAACGAUGAUGCUGAGUGAGGCUCAAACAGGCUUCAAAUCCUCAUCAAUGGCAUUGUUUUAUACUGUAUCCAAACGCACUGUGUUCUUGUCCCCUAUCAGAUCCCUCAACAUUUGCUCCUCUGCCUCUUCACCACCAUCAUCAGAGGAUGAAACUGCCGUCAUCACCGCUGUCUCCAUCCUCAAACACCAUCGAUCCAAAUCUCGAUGGACCCACCUCCGCACGCUCUUCCCCGCCGGUUUCGAUCCCUCCCAAGUUUCUCAAAUCACCAUCCAACUCCGCAACAAUCCCCAUCUAGCCCUCCGUUUUUUUCUAUUCACUAUCGAACACUCUCUCUGCCACCAUUCUCUUUUAUCCUAUGCCACCAUCAUUCAUACCCUUGCUCGUUCCCGCCAAAAAUCUCGUGCCCUAAGUCUGAUUCAAUCCGCAAUUCGCAAAUUCUCUGAUGCUAAUACCGAUUUACCCUCUAAUACUCCACCUUCGAUCUUUGGAGCUUUAAUUAAAACUUACAGAAUAUGUGAUUCUGCACCAUUCGUGUUCGAUUUGCUGAUCAAAGCGUGCCUCCAAUCAAAACGAAUUAAUCAGGGUAUCGAGAUUGCACGAAUGUUGCGCUCCAAAGGUAUAUAUCCAAUGAUCAGCACUUGUAAUUCUUUAAUUAUGUCCGUCUCUAAACACCAUGGGAGCGUUGCUGGGUAUGCGAUCUACAACGAGCUUCUUGGGUCCAGUAGCAAAGUUGUGGAUAAAAAUGUUGUUUGUUUCAAAGGCGUUGUUCCUAAUGUACAUACAUAUAACAUAAUUAUGCAUGCUUUCUAUAGAGACGGAUUAGUUGAGAACUUAGAACGAGUGUGGAGUGAUAUGAUUGUAAACAAUUGCUUGCCUAGUGCAUACAGUUACAGCAUUUUAAUAGCGGCUUAUUGUGAUAAUGGAAGAAUGGAGGACGCCAUGAAAGUGUGGGAAGAAAUGGGGAACAAGAGUUUUAAGCAUGAUGUUAUGGCUUAUAACACCAUAAUCGGUGGGUUUUGUGAAGCCGGAGAGGUUCAUAAGGCUGAGGAAUUCUUCAAAGAAAUGGGAUUGGGUGGGGAAGAGAGUACUUGUGUCACAUAUGAGCAUUUGAUAAAUGGGUAUUGUAAAAUUGGGGAUGUUGAUUCGGCAGUGCUCUUAUACAAGGAUAUUUGUAGGAAAGGGCUUAUGCCAAUCGGGCGUACCGUUGAUGUGUUGAUUAAGGAACUUUGUGAUAAGAAUAAGGUUUCUGAAGCAUUAAAGAUUUCACGAGCUACAAUGAAGAGAAACAAUGUGGUUAUGAAGGGUGAAAGCUAUGAGUUCAUUAUCAAGGGUUUGUGUAAUGAGGGGAGGAUGGAAGAUGGUAUGAAGCUUCAAGCAGAAAUGGUCGGAAGAGGAUAUGAACCGAAUUCAGAGAUUUAUCGUGCUUUUAUUGAUGGUUAUGAAAAAGAAGGAAACAAGGAACUAGCAGACAAGCUGAGGGGAGAACUUCUUGGAAUGGGUAGCCUCUAGAAGACAAAAUAGUUGCAAAGAAAAUCCAAAGAAUUUUCUUGUAAGCAGAACAGGUAUGCUUAAAACACAUGCACGCACAUAUAUACAAACGUAUAUUCGUAGAAGGAGACUGAAUCAUAUCAUUCACUCACUCAUAAAUAUUACUGAUGCACUCAUAGAAGGAUGGUUUGGAUCCAAUUAUAACAAGAAAACCAGGUAUAAGAAGGAUCAAGACUAAUACUAUCACUUUCUUGUGAGAUUUGGAUUUGUGAAGUUGUGGCUGGAAUCAGAGUCUAUAUCAAACAAUAUGCUCACAUUGUUGUGAAUAUGAUCAUCAGUGCUUAUUGAAGUGGUGUUUGAGAAUCUUAUGAUGCAAGCAUGGGGAGACGAGUUAUAUUGCAUCCUGCACCAAGUCUUAAGUUUCCUGUUUUCUUCAGGUUGCUAGCAAUUUGUUGAAUUCAGCAGGGUAAAAUUAAAUAAUCAAGGAGGAUAGUCAGGUGUUACUCUGAUGCUUGAUUUCUGUUGUUAUAUCCAUACUCAACCGUGCAUUACUCGUAUUCUGGAACGAAAUAUCCCCACCAUUAUUCAAGAUCCCAUGUUAAUGCCCUACUUAAUUCAUACUUGUAAAUAAGAUGCCGUUCUUGUCUUCAACACCAUUUAUUCUAAACCAAGCGAUCCAAGU